CACCCGAAACUGAUUUAGCUAACUGUAAAAAGAGGCGAUCAGUGAAGGUGAAGAGGGUGAUUGGGGUGAAGUCGUAACAAGGUAGCAGUAGGUGAGCCUGCAGAAGGACA
rnacentral:rRNA from 1 species